GAGUUUGAUCCUGGCUCAGAACUAACGCUGGCGGCGUGCCUAACACAUGCAAGUCGUACGAGAAAGUCGGCUUCGGCCGAUGAGUAAAGUGGCGCACGGGUGAGUAAUGCGUGGAUAAUCUGCCCUUGAGUUCGGAAUAACGUACCGAAAGGUGCGCUAAUACCGGAUAAUACUGCACAACUACUGUUGUGUAGUCAAAGAUGGCCUCUGUUUACAAGCUUUUGCUGAAGGAUGAGUCCGCGUACCAUUAGCUAGUUGGUGGGGUAAUGGCCUACCAAGGCGACGAUGGUUAGCUGGUCUGAGAGGAUGAUCAGCCACACUGGAACUGAGACACGGUCCAGACUCCUACGGGAGGCAGCAGUGAGGAAUAUUGCGCAAUGGGGGCAACCCUGACGCAGCAACGCCGCGGGAGUGGAGGAAAGGUUUUCGGACCGUAAAGCUCUGUCGAGCGGGAAGAAAUGCAUGGUGGCUAAUAUUCGUCAUGCUUGACGGUACCGCUAGAGGAAGCACCGGCUAACUCCGUGCCAGCAGCCGCGGUAAUUACGGGGGGUGCAAGCGUUGUUCGGAAUUAUUGGGCGUAAAGAGCGUGUAGGCGGCUGAAUAAGUCAGAUGUGAAAUCCCUGGGCUUAACCCAGGACGUGCAUUUGAAACUAUUCAGCUUGAGUAAGGGAGAAGGAAAGUGGAAU
rnacentral:rRNA from 1 species